rnacentral:rRNA from 1 species
UACAGAGGUCUCGAGCGUUGUUCGGAUUCAUUGGGCGUAAAGGGUGCGUAGGUGGCGGGGCAAGUCAGGUGUGAAAUCCCGGGGCUCAACCCCGGAACUGCAUUUGAUACUGCCUUGCUCGAGUACUGGAGAGGAGACUGGAAUUUACGGUGUAGCAGUGAAAUGCGUAGAUAUCGUAAGGAAGACCAGUGGCGAAGGCGAGUCUCUGGACAGUUACUGACACUGAGGCACGAAGGCCAGGGGAGCAAACGGG